rnacentral:lncRNA from 1 species
UUCCACUACUUUGAACAUCUUCACUUCUGCUCAGAUUUGUUGUUUUUUUUUUUAAUUCUCCUUCAGUUACAGCAGCAAAGCUUCUGGAAACUUCUCUUUGGCUUGGGAUACUUUGUAAGGACUGGCUCUUGGUCAUAUGGUGAGCUCCAUCUGCAUGCCUGGAGGAGCACCGUGCUCACAGCGGAUGCAUCGCAACCAAAGGCUGUGAAGUUCUGGAGGUGAGACUGGCACAGAGCAGUGCCAUUGCAUACAACCUGAUAUGUGUUCCAGCUGGUGGCAAAAUGCAUUUACAGACCUGAUGGUUCUUCCGAAGCCAUGAGAAGGGGAGGAAUGACAGGCUAUUUUGGACCUCAUCCAGACCAUCUGUAUUUUAAAGUGCCAAUGCAACGCAGGGAAGCCAUGGAAGUGUUGGAGCAGGUCUGGAGGAGGGCCACAAAGAUGCUCAGAGGGCUGGAGCACCUCUGCUGUGAGGAGAGGCUGAGAGCUGGGUUGUGCAGCCUGGGGAAGAGAUGGCUCAGGGAGACCUCACUGUGGCCUUCCAGUACCUGGGGGGAAGCUUAUAAACAGGAGAGUGACUUUGUACGUGGUCUGACAGUGAUUGGAUGUAGGAGCAUGGCUGAAAACUAAAAGAGGGGAGAUUCAGGUUAGAUAUUAGGAGGAAAUUCACUUUCUGUCACCUCUGUGCCUGCCUCUCCAAGCCCCUUUAUGUGUUACACUUCUUACAACACCAAUAAAAGUGGGAUCCUG